rnacentral:rRNA from 1 species
GAUGAACGCUGGCGGCGUGCCUAAUACAUGCAAGUAGAACGCUGAAGGAAGGAGCUUGCUCUUUCCGGAUGAGUUGCGAACGGGUGAGUAACGCGUAGGUAACCUGCCUGGUAGCGGGGGAUAACUAUUGGAAACGAUAGCUAAUACCGCAUAACAGUAGAUGUUGCAUGAUAUCUACUUAAAAGGUGAAAUUGCACCACUACCAGAUGGACCUGCGUUGUAUUAGCUAGUUGGUGAGGUAACGGCUCACCAAGGCGACGAUACAUAGCCGACCUGAGAGGGUGAUCGGCCACACUGGGACUGAGACACGGCCCAGACUCCUACGGGAGGCAGCAGUAGGGAAUCUUCGGCAAUGGACGGAAGUCUGACCGAGCAACGCCGCGUGAGGGAAGAAGGUUUUCGGAUCGUAAAGCUCUGUUGUAAGAGAAGAACGAGUGUGAGAGUGGAAAGUUCACACUGUGACGGUAUCUUACCAGAAAGGGACGGCUAACUACGUG